CCUACGGGUGGCAGCAGUGGGGAAUAUUGGACAAUGGGCGAAAGCCUGAUCCAGCCAUGCCGCGUGUGUGAAGAAGGCCUUCGGGUUGUAAAGCACUUUCAGUGGGGAAGAAAGCCUUGGGGCUAAUACCCUCGAGGAAGGACAUCACCCACAGAAGAAGCACCGGCUAACUCCGUGCCAGCAGCCGCGGUAAUACGGAGGGUGCGAGCGUUAAUCGGAAUUACUGGGCGUAAAGCGCGCGUAGGCGGUCUGAUAAGCCGGUUGUGAAAGCCCCGGGCUCAACCUGGGAACGGCAUCCGGAACUGUCAGGCUAGAGUGCAGGAGAGGAAGGUAGAAUUCCCGGUGUUGCGGUGAAAUGCGUAGAGAUCGGGAGGAAUACCAGUGGCGAAGGCGGCCUUCUGGACUGACACUGACGCUGAGGUGCGAAAGCGUGGGUAGCAAACAGGAUUAGAUACCCCGGUAGUC
rnacentral:rRNA from 1 species